GACGAACGCUGGCGGCGUGCUUAACACAUGCAAGUCGAGCGGUAAGGCCCUUUCGGGGGUACACGAGCGGCGAACGGGUGAGUAACACGUGGGUGACCUGCCCUCAGCUCUGGGAUAAGCCUGGGAAACCGGGUCUAAUACUGGAUAUGACUCCAUGACGCCUGUUGUGGGGUGGAAAGCCUUGUGCGGCUGAGGAUGGGCCCGCGGCCUAUCAGCUUGUUGGUGGGGUGANGGCCUACCAAGGCGACGACGGGUAGCCGGCCUGAGAGGGCGACCGGCCACACUGGGACUGAGACACGGCCCAGACUCCUACGGGAGGCAGCAGUGGGGAAUCUUGCGCAAUGGGCGAAAGCCUGACGCAGCGACGCGCGUGAGGGAUGACGGCCUCGGUUGUAACGU
rnacentral:rRNA from 1 species